rnacentral:rRNA from 1 species
UGUGGAACUUAAAAAUCAGCAGCCACCUCGCAACAAAACUUAACCUACUAGGCUCACCAGACAUGAUGCUGGCUCGCAUUUUUCGGUUGGGGCGACCUUGGAGAAAAACAAAACCUCCAAAAAUAAGACCACCCCUCUUAACUAAGAGCAACCCCUCAACGUACUAACAGUAACCAGACCCAAUAUAAUUGACCAAUGGACCAAGCUACCCCA